GAGGAUGAAGAUGAGGGUGAAGGGAUCUCCAGGUGUCGGGUGGAUGAAGACGGAGAUGAAGGGGCAGCCGGAGCCGGAUCCCGGGAAGAUGGGGCCCCCCCGGAUUUUCUUCCUCUGGGUCUGGAUCCUGCUUGGCUGCCGUG